rnacentral:lncRNA from 1 species
AAUAUUGUAGUGAGAUAAAUUUAUAAAAAAGAGAAAAGAAAGUAUAAUCGUGAGAUCUUCUUGUGCGAAUAAGAGUUCUUAGUAUAAAGGUCUGGCAGUACUUGUCCACAAAAGUAUCAUCAAUUGUAGAUCUAAUAUUCUCUUAUGUUGAGAAGUCAGCAGGGAUGUAGGCAAACUGUCGAACCUCAAGACAAAUUGAUCGCUUGCUUCUUUGAGUUUCAAUUUCUCCAACUCUUCUCAUUUUUAUUUAUUACGGAUUUCUUGGAUUUGAUUUUAUUGCAUUUUUAUUUUAGAAAUCUAAUUCACCCCCUACUAUAACAAAUUCAUGACUUAGUGGCAUUUACUCCACAACAAUUAUUUAAAUCAUACUAAUUAAUAUAUUUAACAACAUUACUUGAUAAUUAUCACUAGAUUUAAUAAUUUAGAAGUAAUUUAUUAUUAAUGUUGCAAAAUAGUAUAAAUUAGCAGCGUAAAUUAGUGAAUGCCGCUGAAAUUUUCAACAUUUUAUAAAAAAUGAUACUAAAUGUAACAAAGUAGCAGUGCUUAUUGCUAAAUACUGCGACAUUUAUUCCGCAAUAUUUAUUUAAGUCAUGUUAAUUAAUAUAUUUAACA